AACUCAGCACCGGCAGCUAGCAUCUCUGGUGUGAAGGGGCAGAGUGUCAUGAAUCAGCCCCACUAACUUGCUGGGAUGAUGUCAAGGGUUGGCAGUACAGGUAAUAGCAUCAUGAGCAUCCUGCAGAGCGCUACAGUAGAAGCAGACUGCUGGCUGCAGGAGAGGCUGCCGGCCAGGCCCUCCUCUCCAUUGUAGAGAUGGCUCAUCUAGACCUAUCCUGGUAAUGAGCCUUUAGGGGACACCUGCUUCAUAUUUUCAAAGUUUUUUCUCUAACCACGAGGGCUGGAAAUUUUGUUUAUUUUUUAGUGAAAGCUAAGAUUCUCAAGUAAUCACUUGACUCCAUUGGCUAGGAUGUUAAGAAAAACACUUAAAACUGUGUAGUGCA